rnacentral:rRNA from 1 species
UUGCCAGGGCGCGUGCUAUACAUGCAAGUCGAGCGGAGAUUUGAAAAGCUUGCUUUUCAAAUCUUAGCGGCGGACGGGUGAGUAACACGUGGGCAACCUGCCCUUGAGACGGGGAUAACUCCGGGAAACCGGAGCUAAUACCGGAUAACACAUAUCUUCGCAUGAGGAUAUGUUAGAAGGUGGCUUUUAGCUACCACUCAAGGAUGGGCCCGCGGCGCAUUAGCUAGUUGGUGAGGUAACGGCUCACCAAGGCGACGAUGCGUAGCCGACCUGAGAGGGUGAUCGGCCACACUGGGACUGAGACACGGCCCAGACUCCUACGGGAGGCAGCAGUAGGGAAUCUUCCGCAAUGGACGAAAGUCUGACGGAGCAACGCCGCGUGAGUGAUGAAGGUUUUCGGAUCGUAAAGCUCUGUUGUUAGGGAAGAACAAGUACCUGUUAAAUAAGCAGGUACCUUGACGGUACCUAACCAGAAAGCCACGGCUAACUACGGUGCCAGCAGCCGCCGCAAUACCUAGGUGGCAAGCGUUGUCCGGAAUUAUUGGGGCGUAAAGCGCGCGCAGGCGGUUCCUUAGGUCUGAUGUGAAAAGCCCACG